UACGUAGGUCCCGAGCGUUGUCCGGAUUUAUUGGGCGUAAAGCGAGCGCAGGUGGUUUAUUAAGUCUGGUGUAAAAGGGAGUGGCUCAACCAUUGUAUGCAUUGGAAACUGGUAGACUUGAGUGCAGGAGAGGAGAGUGGAAUUCCAUGUGUAGCGGUGAAAUGCGUAGAUAUAUGGAGGAACACCGGUGGCGAAAGCGGCUCUCUGGCCUGUAACUGACACUGAGGCUCGAAAGCGUGGGUAGCAAACAGG
rnacentral:rRNA from 1 species